rnacentral:rRNA from 1 species
GCGAACCUGCGGCAAGGAUCAUUACCGAGUUANGGUCUUAUAGGCCCGACCUCCAACCCUUUGUUUACUACACCAUGUUGCUUUGNCGGGCCCNCCUUUUGNGGCCGNCGGGGGCUUACNAGCCCNUGGUCAGCGUUCGCCAGUCGCCUUAUUAAAUUCUUNCAUAAUUAUGNUGACUGAGUAUAAAUAUAAAUCGUUAAAACUUUCAACAACGGAUCUCUUGGUNCUGGCAUCGAUGAAGAACGCAGCGAAAUGCGAUAAGUAAUGCGAAUUGCAGAAUUCAGUGAGUCAUCGAAUCUUUGAACGCAUAUUGCGCCCUUUGGCAUUCCGAAGGGCAUGCCUGUUCGAGCGUCAUUAUCAACCAUCAAGCCUGGCUUGUCGUUGGACCUCUUUACCGCUGAAAUAUGUGGUAGGUCCGAAAGAUAAUGACGGCGUCGUGUUUGACCCUAGAUGCAACGAGCUUUUUAUAGCACGCAUUGAAGUGGUCGGCCGACCCGGUCUUUAACCAUUAUUUUCUAAGGUUGACCUCGGAUCAGGUAGGAAUACCCGCUGAACUUAAGCAUAUCAAUAAGCGGAGGA